AUUGAACGCUGGCGGCAGGCCUAACACAUGCAAGUCGAGCGGCAGCGGGAAAGUAGCUUGCUACUUUUGCCGGCGAGCGGCGGACGGGUGAGUAAUGCCUGGGGAUCUGCCCAGUCGAGGGGGAUAACUACUGGAAACGGUAGCUAAUACCGCAUACGCCCUACGGGGGAAAGCAGGGGACCUUCGGUCCUUGCGCGAGUGGAUGAACCCAGGUGGGUUUAGCUAGUUGGUGAGGUAACGGCUCACCAAGGCGACGAUCCCUAGCUGGGCUGAGAGGAUGAUCAGCCACACUGGAACUGAGGCACGGUCCAGACUCCUACGGGAGGCAGCAGUGGGGAAUAUUGCACAAUGGGGGAAACCCUGAUGCAGCCAUGCCGCGUGUGUGAAGAAGGCCUUCGGGUUGUAAAGCACUUUCAGCGAGGAGGAAAGGUUGGUAGCUAAUAACUGCCAGCUGUGACGUUACUCGCAGAAGAAGCACCGGCUAACUCCGUGCCAGCCGCCGCGGUAACAC
rnacentral:rRNA from 1 species